AUUGAACGCUGGCGGCAUGCCUUACACAUGCAAGUCGAACGGCAGCACGGGAGCAAUCCUGGUGGCGAGUGGCGAACGGGUGAGUAAUAUAUCGGAACGUGCCCAGUCGUGGGGAUAACGUAGCGAAAGUUACGCUAAUACCGCAUACGAUCUAAGGAUGAAAGCGGGGGACUCGCAAGAGCCUCGCGCGAUUGGAGCGGCCGAUAUCAGAUUAGGUAGUUGGUGGGGUAAAGGCUCACCAAGCCAACGAUCUGUAGCUGGUCUGAGAGGACGACCAGCCACACUGGAACUGAGACACGGUCCAGACUCCUACGGGAGGCAGCAGUGGGGAAUUUUGGACAAUGGACGCAAGUCUGAUCCAGCCAUUCCGCGUGCAGGAUGAAGGCCCUCGGGUUGUAAACUGCUUUUGUACGGAACGAAAGGUUUCUCUUAAUACGAGGAGCUCAUGACGGUACCGUAAGAAUAAGCACCGGCUAACUACGUGCCAG
rnacentral:rRNA from 1 species